rnacentral:rRNA from 1 species
AGCGAACGCUGGCGGCAGGCCUAACACAUGCAAGUCGAACGGAUCUUUCGGGAUUAGUGGCGGACGGGUGAGUAACACGUGGGAACGUGCCCUUUGGUUCGGAACAACUCAGGGAAACUUGUGCUAAUACCGGAUGUGCCCUUCGGGGGAAAGAUUUAUCGCCAUUGGAGCGGCCCGCGUCUGAUUAGCUAGUUGGUGAGGUAACGGCCCACCAAGGCGACGAUCAGUAGCUGGUCUGAGAGGAUGAUCAGCCACACUGGGACUGAGACACGGCCCAGACUCCUACGGGAGGCAGCAGUGGGGAAUCUUGCGCAAUGGGCGAAAGCCUGACGCAGCCAUGCCGCGUGAAUGAUGAAGGUCUUAGGAUUGUAAAAUUCUUUCAGCGGGGACGAUAAUGACGGUACCCGCAGAAGAAGCUCCGGCUAACUUCGUG